rnacentral:rRNA from 1 species
UACGUAGGGGGCGAGCGUUGUCCGGAAUCAUUGGGCGUAAAGAGCGUGUAGGCGGCUUGGCAAGUCUCGCGUGAAAUCCUGCGGCUCAACCGCAGGCCUGCGUGGGAUACUGCCUCGCUAGAGUCCGGAAGAGGAGAGUGGAAUUCCUGGUGUAGCGGUGGAAUGCGCAGAUAUCAGGAAGAACACGCGUGGCGAAGGCGGCUCUCUGGGACGGUACUGACGCUGAGACGCGAAAGCGUGGGGAGCGAACAGG